AACGCGAAGAACCUUACCCAGGCUUGACAUACAGUGGAAUAGAGUGGAGACAUUCUAGCCUUCGGGCCGCUGUACAGGUGCUGCAUGGCUGUCGUCAGCUCGUGCCGUGAGGUGUUGGGUUAAGUCCCGCAACGAGCGCAACCCUUAUCAUUAGUUGCCAACGGGUAAAGCCGGGAACUCUAGUGAGACUGCCUAGGUUAACUAGGAGGAAGGUGAGGAUGACGUCAAGUCCGCAUGGCCCUUAUGUCUGGGGCUACACACGUGCUACAAUGGGCGGUACAGAAAGCAGCGAAACCGCGAGGUGAAGCAAAUCUCCAAAGCCGCUCUCAGUUCGGAUUGUAGUCUGCAACUCGACUACAUGAAGCUGGAAUUGCUAGUAAUGGCGUGUCAGCUACAACGCCGUGAAUACGUUCCCGGGCCUUGUACACACCGUAGAGAC
rnacentral:rRNA from 1 species